AAUGGCGAUUCCCUGCGGCCCUCAGCCGUGGAAACCGGGCUGCAGCCUGCGGGGUUUCGUGGCUGCCUGGCGGGAGAGGAAGGGGUUUUUUCCUCCACGUUAAACUGCCCGGCCGCUCCCGGUGCUGGCGCGUCUGUGGGCGGGGCUGAGGGGAGCGCGGAGCGGGGGUGGAGCGAGUGAGGAGCUCUGCCUUGGGAAUGCUGUGGGAAGUUGCGUUUCACUUUGCCUAGGUGUAUUCGACCGUACUAACCAAAAAAUGGUACUUUCCAGGGAGACCAAGGAAGAUGUUGCAACCAGCAGUGUCCGUCACCUGGAGGAAGCUGUGGCAGAGGUUAACAGGUAAGAGAGACUGAGCAAAACGAGGAAAUGUUGAAGUAUGUUAAUAAUAUGAGGAGGGGAAGUUAUGGUCUGCCGGGAUAGUAACAAGGUCACCAGCUAAUUAGACGAUAAAAUCAAUUAUAAGCAAGAAAAUGAAAAUUUAUGGAUUUAUGGAUGGAGCAGAGCUGCAAAUGAAGUUAAUUAUUCCCUGAAUGUGAUUUUUCCAAAGCAUCAUCUGAUAUUAUCAUCUAAGAUAUACUUGUGUUAGAUAACCAUAUCGCCCUUGAAAGAAACAAAUUGAUCAGUCUUAAAAUGAAGUUGUAUUCAAAACACAAAUAUUUAUACUGAGAAUAAAAACCAUAUAGUCAUUACACAGUACAGUGGGCCAGAUGCUAAGAGAGUGAAUUGAUGGUGUGAUUGCUUAUUUAUUGUAAUAAAACACUUUUUAACAAAAGCUUAGGCUUUCUCUUGGUUCCUAUUUUGAUCCAAGAGGAAAUAUGGUUUUUCUCAGGAUUCAGGCUGCUGUGAUUAAAACAAAUGGUAUUGCCCUGAAGUCAUGUGCUGAAGUUCUGAAAGGGUCUGAAUAAUUUAAUUUAACCAGGGGAGAUUUAUUCUCGAUCUUUUUCACUAGUGAUUGUGUUAUGAUACAUAAGUCUUCUGAAUAAAGUAUUUUCUGAGUAA